GCUGCUGUUACGUGUGGUCUCUCAGUCACAGCUGCCAAAAUCGAUUCCAUAAUUAACUUAGAAUAUGGAGGUGGAGUGCUGCCAUAAAAAUACAUAUGUGGCAGUGGCUUUGCAGCCGGGUAGAGCAGACACGGAUCUGCAGGCUGGGAAGCUGGUGACUCUCCUUACACUCUGGCAGACGAUCUGUGAUGGACAUCUGGACCGAAGAUCACAUGUUCUCCGAGCCUAUAACUCUAAGGCAGUGGUCUGCAAACUCAUUAGUCAACAGAGCCAAAUAUCAACGGUACAACAAUUGAAAUUUCUUUUGAGAGCCAAAUUUUUUAAACUUAAACUUCUUCUAACGCCACUUCUUCAAAAUAGACUCGCCCAGGCCGUGGUAUUUUGUGGAAGAGCCACACUCAAGGGGCCAAAGAGCCGUAUGUGGCUCGCAAGCCGCAGUUUGCCGACCACGGCUCUAGGAGAACUUGGUACCUGAAACAGAGGAAGAUACACACACAUGGAAGAAUCUACCGUGUUCAUGGAUUGGAAGAAUUAACAUCAUUAAAAUGUCCAUACUACCAAAACCAGGAGUUCUUUAUAUACUCUGCCAGUUGAGGAAACCAAGGCACAGAAGGUUAAAUAGCCCACGUUUGCUCAGCUAGAGAGUGGCCGGCCAGGAUUGGCCCCAGAUAGCCCAUCUCCAGAGCUGCCUGUUAUCUGCCUCUCUGCCACAGGCUGGAGCAGUCUCAGAAGAUUACCGUUUGCUCACAGAUCUGGUAAGGAGGGUGACUCCAAACUGCGUGGCUGCUGCUAACAUGAUCCCCCAAUCUCACCAACUGCCCCUGGGUUCUCCUCUGAGACCUGACCCCAGGACCCAGCCCCAGUGAAGCCCUCAGCUGGAAGCCACCCGAGGACUCACAGACCGAUUUAAAGUGGAAACUUUCAGCUGCAAGUGAUAGAAAUUCUGGCUCAAGUUGGCUUAGAAAAUAAAACAGAAAGAAUCCCUCUUUUAUCAGGCAUACGAGAAUAAGGACAUGUAUUAUCUCAUGUAACAGGGAGUCCGGGAGUCGGACAGACUCUAGCCAGGUUGAUCCACGGGCUCAGGGUGCUGUGAAGUUUCUUUCUAUUGAAUGCUCACUGUUCUGUCUGUGGUUGCAUGCAUUACAUUAAAAAAAUUUUAAAUA